GCCUGCUUGGUGCAGUGGGUAGAGCGUGCGACUCUUGAUCCCAGCAUCGUGAGUUCGAGCCCCACAUUAGGUG
rnacentral:tRNA from 1 species